rnacentral:lncRNA from 1 species
UGUAUAUUUUACUUUGUUUUUACUCGUAAAGACAAUCAUGCAACAUAGCAUAACAUAACAAUACAUUUAAUUUUUAAGCAUGUUCACACAGCAUAUAAUAAUAUACAGCUAUAUACAAAUAGAACUAUUAGAUCACUUAUUUAAUAUAUUUUUAAAUUCUAAUCAGUCCGCAGCAAAGUCAUUGGUAUACCUUACGUCUUCUUCCCAGUUUUUUUAGCAUUCAAUUUUCGUAAUCGUUCUCUUGUUUGCU